GGUUCCCGGCCAACGCACCAAAUGAAAGGCCAGUAGGAGGAAAAAAAUCCCC
rnacentral:precursor_RNA from 1 species